rnacentral:lncRNA from 1 species
AAAGAGAAACACCUAUGACCAUAGCCUAUUAACUUGACAGGUGGUACUUUCAAGAGGUUUUUGGAGGAGGAUCGAAGAUUUCUGCUUGGUACAAUUUACUUUACAAUCUGCAGAAACUACUAAAUGAAAUAAAAUUUGUGAAACAAAAAGAGACAAGGAAUCCGAAUAAAAAUCUGCGUUCACCACGAUCCUUCGAAACGUAACAUUGACGAGUAAGGGAUCCGCCACCCGCGCGCCCGCGGGAUAGAAUGGAAUUUACCCAGGAACAUUGUGACCGAGUGAGCUUGGGGUUGAGUCAAGAGAGAGAAAGAAAGAUGGCGGAAAAACGAGUUGUAUGGAUUGAAUGAAUUAACAUGGAAAGAAUGUUCACUUCCCGUGGAGACACAACCGAACUGUUGAAGGCUGAUGCUUUAUUGUACUUUCAAACAAUAGGGAGGACAUUCAGAUAAGACCAGGACAGGCUACAGUGAAGGAUAAUGCGGCCCGCUCAGAUGCUUGAGAAAAAAAAAAAAAAACAUAACUUAUUUUACUUGGCUGAAGAGAUGUUGGAAGAACAGCCUGGAGAACCGACCAGUUUGAUCUGUAAGCCAGGGAAGGAGAGUUCAGAUAAGAUGGAGACCAGAGCAGGUGGAAAGCAGAGGUCAUUGACAUCACUCCUUCACAGAGUAGGACCUGACUGAGAAGCAAGAUCAAGAUAUUGCUAACUCAACCAAAUGUAAGAUGUGUCCAGGCCAGGGACUAAGCCAGUCAAGACAGAAAGUGAAUGAGAUACUGGAGAGUUAAAAGUCAUAGCUCGAUUUCGGCCGCUCUCUUGAGUCUGGCCUUCUAAACUACAACAAGACUAACCAAACCAUAUGUGGAGGAUUAUUGAGGACUUGUCUGAGAACCAAGAUCAACACAUUAGCAACCCAAGCUCAAGGGAGGAUGUGUGCAAAUGAGGCUCAGACUAAGCCAGACAAAACAGAAAGUGGAUGAGAUACUGGAGAGUUAAAAACCGUCAGUGGACCUUCAUUCCUGACAAGAGGAUGACAGACACAUCCACAUCAGAAAAAGACCAUAUCAAGAUGGCCCAAAGAAAAUGGAGGAUCAUAAAACAAUGCCUUAGACAGAUGGUAUGUUGGCAGAGAUAGCAAACACUUGGAUGAGGAUGUGGACAGUGGAUCGUGGACUGUGGACCGUGGACUCUGGAGCAUGGAUUGGGGACCGUGGACCAAGGACCAAGGACCAAGGACAGAGGAUCGUGGACCAAGGACUGUGGAACAAGGACAGGGGACCAAGGACAGAGGACCAAAGACCAAGGACAGAAUGUGGACAUCAAGAACUUGCACUAAAGCUGAACAAUAUCAUGUAAAUAACAAAGGUAACAUUUUAGCUAACAAAUGUUUACCAUGAAGACAUGUACUAGAUUAUUCCUCAUUUAUUUCUUUAUUUCACACACAUGUACAUAAGUGAAAUUCAAUGAAAUUGUCAACACGGAAUCAAUACUGCUUUACAUCAAAUUAGACAAAAACUCCUUGAUUACUCAUGGUAAACAUUUGUAAUACUCUGUUUAUUGCCUAGUUACAUGUGCACCAGUGUUUCAGAUUUCAUAGUCUCCUCUGCAGUUGUUAUUUGGGGGGACUGUUACCCAAAUUGAGGAGAAAACUUGCCAGAUGAUGACUAAAAUAACUACUACAAAUAACGCUACAGAAAUUAUUGAUCUAGCUAUUUUCAAAGACUUUUUUUUAUCAUGGGGAAAAGGGAAGUUCCAGGGUUCUAGAAACAAAAUUGGAAUUAAUUUGACUUCAAUCAGUUAAAAUCCAGCAAUCAAUCAAUCAUUGGCAAUCAAUUAAUCAAACAAUCAAUGAUUUAUCGUUUUAUUUAAACACAAAACACUAAGGUGCAUCACAUGUAAAAACCUAAUAAAAGUCCACUAAUGCAUUUUGCGACUAGAAUUAGCAAUUAUUGCCUGAACAUUUUGCAGCCUACAGUUUGAAGUCUUAAACAGCCAUAUACAGUGUAUUCCAUUAAUUACAAAACACUUUUCAUAUCACUUUGUUGCACAUGUAGCUGUUGAGAUAAACAGAGUAUUGAACUGACCAGUGUGUGUUGUGUGUGCCAUCCAUUUGCAAAUAAGUGGCUUGCUUACAAAUUAGUGUUCUCUCUAGAUAGGCCUAUCUUUUGAUUUUAUUUUCGUCACAUAUUUUGCGAAAAUUGUCUCCUUCAUAGCAUCAGACUGGGCACAUUAUUUUGCUUAUAGCAAUCACCAACUUCAAAUGAAUUGAGACUCAACAAAAGCUAAAAUCUAUUUCAAUUAAUCCAAAAAAAAAAAAAGUUUUUUUUUUCAUGUGUGCAGACAGUUAAGUGUACAUAAAGAAGACUCAAAUUCAUUUAGAAAAAAGGACUAAAAAAUUUGUUCAAGAACAAACUGAAGAUUCAAAUUUGUGCAAAAAUACUCAAUUUGUUAUUAUAACAAUAACUGAAUAUUAUUGUUCAAAUCAAAAACUGAAAAAUUGAUUGAAAAAAAAAAAACUGUG